CUCCUACCUGGACAGCAGCAAACACUGCCCCCGUGACUUCCUGGUGCCAUCCUUGGCUCCAUUACGUCCAUUCUCCAGUGGCUGGCAGAGUGAGCUUGAAGAACGUGUGACAUGCCCUUCAGAAUGUUCUACUUCCUGUUCCAGAAGGACAGCCCCUCAUGCCUUCCCGCGGGCCACACGCCACCUCUUCCUCAGUGCCCCAGCCUGGCAUCCUCUUCCUGCAUUCAGCCUUCUUUUCCGAGGGUCAACAUCUUGUGAGUAUGGGGACCAGGCAACGUGAGCUCCAGCUCUAACUCUGUCCCAAUCAGCUGUGUGACCUUGGGCAAGAUGCUUAACUUCUCUGGGCCUCAGUUUUCUCAUCUGUGAAAUGAAGUGUCAUCUUGCUGGAGGGCAGAAGGAUUCCCUGGAACCUGGGGGCCAGCAGGACAGAGGAAACAGAAAGUACAUGACCGAUGAUGUCUUUCGACCACAGAAAGGGCUGGAAGAAGCAGGGGACCUACUGUUUGAAU
ensembl:lncRNA LINC02940 long intergenic non-protein coding RNA 2940